rnacentral:rRNA from 1 species
CGGGCCAACGGCGGCUAUACAUGCAGUCGAGGGGCAGCGGGGGUAGCAAUACCUGCCGGCGACCGGGAAACGGGUGAGGAACACGUACGCAACCUUCCUUCAAGCGGGGGAUAGCCAGGAGAAAUCCGGAUUAAUACCCCAUAGGAUUGUGGAUCGGCAUCGAUCAGCAAUUAAAGAUUUAUCACUUGAAGAUGCCCCCCGCGUCUGAUUAGGUAGUUGGUGAGGUAACGGCUCACCAAGCCGACGAUCAGUAACUGGCGUGAGAGCGCGACCAGUCACACGGGCACUGAGACACGGGCCCGACUCCUACGGGAGGCAGCAGUAAGGAAUAUUGGUCAAUGGACGCAAGUCUGAACCAGCCAUGCCGCGUGGAGGAUGAAGGUCCUCUGGAUUGUAAACUUCUUUUAUCUGGGAAGAAAUGGUUGCUUUCUAGCGAUCUUGACGGUACCAGAUGAAUAAGCACCGGCUAACUCCGUGCCAGCAGCCGCGGUAAUACGGAGGGUGGAAGCGUUAUCCGGAUUCACUGGGUUUAAAGGGUGCGGAGGCGGAACAGAAAGUCCGUUGUGGAAUCUCCGAGCUUAACUCGGAAAUUGCGGUGGAUACUAUUGUUCUUGAAUACUGUUGAGGGUAGCGGAGAAUGUCAUGUAGCGGGGAAAUGCGUAGAUAUGACAUAUAACACCCCUUGCGAAGGCGGCUGGGUAAAAAAAAAUUUGACGCUGAAGCACCAAAGCGAGGGGGUCUAAUCAGAAUAAAAACCCUGGGGGUCCCCGCCCUCAAAAAAUAAUAAUCCACCUUUGCUAUACACAACAAAUGUCUUAACCCCACACGAUUAAUAAUUCCCCCCCGGAAAUAACACCCCCCCGGUGGAAAUCCCACAAAUGACCGGGGGCCCCCCCACCCAUGGAGAACAAGUUUUUUUUAUUAUUAUACGAGGAAACUCACCCUCGGCGAGAGGACGA